GAUGAACGCUGGCGGCGUGCCUAAUACAUGCAAGUCGAGCGAACAGACGAGGAGCUGGCUCCUCUGACGUUAGAGGCGGACGGGUGAGGAACACGUGGAUAACCUACCUAUAAGACUGGGAUAACUUCGGGAAACCGGAGCUAAUACCGGAUAAUAUAUUGAACCGCAUGGUUCAAUAGUGAAAGACGGUUUUGCUUUCACUUAUAGAUGGAUCCGCGCCGCAUUAGCUAGUUGGUAAGGUAACGGCUUACCAAGGCAACGAUGCGUAGCCGACCUGAGAGGGUGAUCGGCCACACUGGAACUGAGACACGUUCCAGACUCCUACGGGAGGCAGCAGUAGGGACUCUUCCGCAAUGGGCGAAAGCCUGACGGAGCAAAGCCGCGUGAGUGAUGAAGGUCUUCGGAUCGUAAAACUCUGUUAUUAGGGAAGAACAAAUGUGUAAGUAACUAUGCACGUCUUGACGGUACCUAAUCAGAAAGCCACGGCUAACUACGUG
rnacentral:rRNA from 1 species